rnacentral:rRNA from 1 species
CUACGUGCCAGCAGCCGCGGUAAUACGUAGGUCCCGAGCGUUGUCCGGAUUUAUUGGGCGUAAAGCGAGCGCAGGCGGUUUGAUAAGUCUGAAGUUAAAGGCUGUGGCUCAMCCAUAGUUCGCUUUGGAAACUGUCAAACUUGAGUGCAGAAGGGGAGAGUGGAAUUCCAUGUGUAGCGGUGAAAUGCGUAGAUAUAUGGAGGAACACCGGUGGCGAAAGCGGCUCUCUGGUCUGUAACUGACGCUGAGGCUCGAAAGCGUGGGGAGCGAACAGGAUUAGAUACCCUGGUAGUCCACGCCGUAAACGAUGAGUGCUAGGUGUUAGAUCCUUUCCGGGAUUCAGUGCCGCAGCUAACGCAUUAAGCACUCCGCCUGGGGAGUACGACCGCAAGGUUGAAACUCAAAGGAAUUGACGGGGGCCCGCACAAGCGGUGGAGCAUGUGGUUUAAUUCGAAGCAACGCGAAGAACCUUACCAGGUCUUGACAUCCCUCUGACCGCUCUAGAGAUAGAGCUUUC